rnacentral:lncRNA from 1 species
GUUAUGGCAGUGGUACUUUGUUAUGGUACUUAGCAAACUCAUACAGUAGGUAAAUUAUUCUACCCUAUGACCCGAUUCUUUUGAGAUUUACUCAAGUCCUCGUAGUGUGCCCCAAUGGAUUUGUAAUAGAAACAGAAUGGAAGAACAAAGUACCCUGUUCUUUCUAAGGGCUUCUAUUCCCAUGGAGUCCUGACGGGUCUGCCAAACAAAGGGUGAUCACAUGAUCAAGACUAUGACAUCCUAAGAUUCCUUCCCACUACAACUGGCCCAGGGGAGACUUCUGGCUCAAGCUGUCAAUCAGCCUCUCCUAGGAUCUGAAACCUGAAGAAAAGCAUGGCUACCAGUUCAAUUUGACAUGUAUCCUAGACACAGAGAAACAUAUCUCCACAGACUCCUCCAGCUCUUUCCUGUUGACAUGAUGUAUUUACUGAGAAGCUCUUCUCAUAGGGUGAACUGAAGCUGAGAAGGCAGUGUCGCACAGGCCUGAGUCUGGGAAGUGGACCCAGAGUUAACGAGCAAGAAGUCCACAGGUUAUAUUGAAUGGCUGCCCUCCUAUCUUGUCUGGAAGAGAUCCCCAGAGGACCCCAGCUCUCAGAGCCAGAAAUUGGUUUCUUCCUUCCAAGCAGACAUGACUCCCCAGACUCUGACCCUUGGGAUGUAUGCACAAAACAUUUCUUUCCAUUCCGUCACCCAGGUAUCCACCGAGGCUUCCCUGCCACUCUGGCACCUGCAACUGAAAUGCUGUCCCUGUGCUCUGUUCUUUUUGUAGUUUUUUCACUACCUCAUAUUACAUUCUAAGCUUAUAGGUUAACUUGCUCAUUAUUUGACUCCACCACUAAAAAUAUAAAUUCCAUGAGAGAAGGCAAUUUGCUCUCUUUUUCACGACUGGAUCGUCAGAGCUUAAACAGUGGCUGGAACAUACAGUGAAUUCAACAAGUACCUGUUAAAUGAAUAAAUGAUUUAAAUAACACAGUCACUCUGUGCAGCUGAACAAAAAACUCAGCUCUGAUUCAAGAACUACUAAAUAAUUAACUCUACAAAAAUAUUACUUGGAAAUGUUGAUUUUACUGAAGAUUUUGGAUGGGAAAUAGAGAAAGGAUUUAUAUUGGAACUCUUCAUUAAAAAUUGUUCAACCUCAUUCAUAACAAAAAGAAUGCAAAUUAAAAUCGGACCAAGAAGCCUGCAGAGCCUAGGAAGAGUAAACAGAACUGUGGAGAUGGGGAGAGAAAGGAGGGGAAGGGAGGUACCUGGCACAUAGCCCAAGGGAACGAGAAAAGUAUUUAUGUGGGAGAGGGGCAGAGAUGUGAGAUGUGUUACAUACAGGAGGGAUGCUCAAAUAAACAACUAUUUAAGGAUAAUGUGAGCUAAGUUUCUCACUGUCAGAGAAGGGAAUUAAAAAUACAGAAAAGGAGAAAACUAUAAUGAAUCAUGUGAUGUUGGAUAAGAAUUGAAGGUAUGGUAUCAACCUAUAGUUGUAAUGUAUAGAAAUAAAUAAAUAUAGAUGUAAACAUGUGUCUAUUAA